rnacentral:lncRNA from 1 species
CGACAAUCUCUUCCUUUUAAAGAUGAAGACAUCAGGUAUUGCACUGUACGUUGUUCUUCUACUAGCCGUAGCCGAGCCACUUUUUUUCGCGGCAGAAGGAUGUGUUAUUAGUGAACUGCAACCUUGCGCAUCUGCCAUCGCGUCCGGUACUCCACCUUCUGUAGAGUGCUGCACUAAUUUAAAGCAACAGCAGCCUUGCUUUUGCGAGUACCUCAAAGACCCAAGCGUAGGAGGGUAUGUUAAAUCUCCCAACGCCAAGAAGGUUGCUCGUGCUUGUGGAGUGUCCAUUCCCACUAAUUGUUAACUAUCUAUGCUUCUGUAGACUACUUAGGGAGUACUAUUCCCAGUAAAAGUAAUAUGGUAGCUAGCUUUAAUCAGAAUAAUGAUGCACUUGUGUCCAUCUUUUUAAUAAUGGAAAAUAAAUAACUCUUGGACCGCCUAUCUUUUUAACCUAUUAGCAUGGGAUGUGUAAAGGUUGUUGGACAGGUCCACAAGUAUUAUUUAUAAUUGUUUCUCACUAUAUGAAUAUGUAUUUAUAAUAGAGAUAAUCGGAAAACUAAAUGUGAGAAUGAUGUGUUGGAAUUCUGAAAUCACCUAUUAUUAUCUUAUUUCAAAUCUCUAUCCACGUUA